CUGGGGGCUUCCUCUAGGAAGGUCUUGUGGGGAAGUAGAGAACAGCAGUCCCAGACACAAGAAAAGAGGAAGGCAGCAUGUCUAAGUAAAACUUUGUGUUUAAAGACUUGAGGGCCUCUUGUCAAUGGUUACAACUGAGCAUCUGGACCUCCAUAAUCUGUAUCUCACUCAACCUAUUCAUUCAAAUUUGUAUUUUCAAUUCUUCCCUGCUGGAGAAAUCAGAACCAUGGACAGCAG
rnacentral:lncRNA from 1 species